UAAUCAAAUUUUUCAGUUUUUUUCAGCAACAAUAUCGAAGUCACGAACUUCCUUUCUUUUUAGCAAUGUUUCGCACACCAGAUGCUAUUAGUCGGUUAAGGUAUGCAUCCUUGAUGCGCUCAGAAUAAGAAACAGCAUCAAGCUGACAUUUAGAUACACGCUGAAUGAACAAAUUUCUGAUUUGUUCAACCUUUCCCGGUGUCAUCGGAUCUUUGCCUGGAAUUAU